rnacentral:rRNA from 1 species
CCUACGGGGUGCAGCAGUGAGGAAUAUUGGUCAAUGGACGAGAGUCUGAACCAGCCAAGUAGCGUGAAGGAUGACUGCCCUAUGGGUUGUAAACUUCUUUUAUAAAGGAAUAAAACGAGGCACGUGUGCCUUUUUGCAUGUACUUUAUGAAUAAGGAUCGGCUAACUCCGUGCCAGCAGCCGCGGUAAUACGGAGGAUCCGAGCGUUAUCCGGAUUUAUUGGGUUUAAAGGGAGCGUAGAUGGGUUGUUAAGUCAGUUGUGAAAGUUUGCGGAGCAACCGUAAAAUUGCAAUUGAUACUGGCAGUCGUGAGUACAGUUGAGGUAGGCGGAAUUCGUGGUGUAGCGGUGAAAUGCUUAGAUAUCACGAAGAACCCCGAUUGCGAAGGCAGCUUACUAAACUGUGACUGACAUUGAUGCUCGAAAGUGUGGGUAUCAAACAGGAUUAGAUACCCCUGUAGUC